rnacentral:rRNA from 1 species
UGUGAGUGAUUCUUGUUAGGGGAAGAUGCAUAGUAAAGGAUGGUCCACCUAUUAUUUACUCUUUUUAUGUUGGUGUAUGUCUGGUUUGAUAUUAUUGUUUAGUAAUGUAAGUUUGUGUAGUUUUAGUUAAGCUAAGUCUAUGUGCUGCUUAUAAGAGUUUUUGUGUGUUACAUUGAUAGGAAUAUUGUUGUAAUAUGGUAUUGUA